GGCCUGGGGGUGGAGUUGGUACCAUACCUGCUUCUGCUAAUGGAUAAUUGGAAUACCAUAAGCAGAAGGCCCUCGUUCGAUUCGGGGUCAGGUCA